GACGAACCGUGCGAACGUUAUUCGGAAUCACUGGGCUUAAAGGGUGCGUAGGCGGCGCGGUAAGUCGGGUGUGAAAUCUCGGAGCUUAACUCCGAAACUGCAUUCGAUACUGCCGUGCUUGAGGACUGGAGAGGAGACUGGAAUUUACGGUGUAGCAGUGAAAUGCGUAGAGAUCGUAAGGAAGACCAGUGGCGAAGGCGGGUCUCUGGACAGUUCCUGACACUGAGGCACGAAGGCCAGGGGAGCAAACGGG
rnacentral:rRNA from 1 species